rnacentral:rRNA from 1 species
CCUACGGGAGGCAGCAGUGGGGAAUCUUGCGCAAUGGGCGAAAGCCUGACGCAGCCAUGCCGCGUGAAUGAUGAAGGUCUUAGGAUUGUAAAAUUCUUUCACCGGGGACGAUAAUGACGGUACCCGGAGAAGAAGCCCCGGCUAACUUCGUGCCAGCAGCCGCGGUAAUACGAAGGGGGCUAGCGUUGCUCGGAAUUACUGGGCGUAAAGGGAGCGUAGGCGGAUAGUUUAGUCAGAGGUGAAAGCCCAGGGCUCAACCUUGGAAUUGCCUUUGAUACUGGCUAUCUUGAGUGUGGGAGAGGUAUGUGGAACUCCGAGUGUAGAGGUGAAAUUCGUAGAUAUUCGGAAGAACACCAGUGGCGAAGGCGACAUACUGGCCCAUUACUGACGCUGAGGCUCGAAAGCGUGGGGAGCAAACAGGAUUAGAUACCCUGGUAGUCCACGCUGUAAACGAUGAGUGCUAGUUGUCGGCAGCAUGCUGUCGGUGACGCAGCUACGACAUAAGUACACUCCGCCGUCGGGGUAGGGUACGGGUCCGGCGAAGAAGUUAAAACCGUUAACGUAAAGUUAAGUUAGUAGGUUACGGUUGUAGAGACGCCGACGGACGGACCGACCGACGGGAGGGAGGAGG